ACGGAGGGUGCAAGCGUUAUCCGGAUUCACUGGGUUUAAAGGGUGCGUAGGUGGGUUGGUAAGUCAGUGGUGAAAUCCCCGAGCUUAACUUGGGAACUGCCAUUGAUACUAUCAGUCUUGAAUACCGUGGAGGUCGGCGGAAUAUGUCAUGUAGCGGUGAAAUGCUUAGAUAUGACAUAGAACACCAAUUGCGAAGGCAGCUGGCUACGCGGAUAUUGACACUGAGGCACGAAAGCGUGGGGAGCAAACAGG
rnacentral:rRNA from 1 species